rnacentral:rRNA from 1 species
UACGUAGGGCGCGAGCGUUGUCCGGAAUUAUUGGGCGUAAAGAGCUCGUAGGCGGCUGGUUGCGUCUGCUGUGAAAUCCCGGGGCUUAACCCCGGGCGUGCAGUGGAUACGGGCAGGCUAGAGUUCGGUAGGGGAGAUCGGAAUUCCUGGUGUAGCGGUGAAAUGCGCAGAUAUCAGGAGGAACACCGGUGGCGAAGGCGGGUCUCUUGGCCGAUACUGACGCUGAGGAGCGAAAGCGUGGGGAGCGAACAGG